ensembl:lncRNA
ACAGGUCUUGCGCAGAGUAGCUGGUCCAUAAAUGCUUUUGUUCUCCUUUUGCUGGGACCCCAGGAUCUGCUGAGGUUACAUUGUUCAGUGUUAAGCUACACUCAAUUUACGUGAGGGUGUUUUGACGGUUUCCAGCAUUCCGGUUUGUGGUUAUCCCCUAACAGGCCUCCAAGUACUUGUCCGAGAAACUCUGAGUUCUUUAAACUGUAUUUCGCCAAGGACGGUAACAAGUACCGUCCUGGGGCCAUUUGCAACUUCCCUUCCCUGAUCACAGAGGUUUGACUAAGUGCUUUGUCUAAAGGCAGAAAAUGCACCAGUCCUGUGUCUUAACAUUUAUGAAGGGGUUACCCGAUGUUAAGGUCAGACCUGUCCACAAAUCCUUUGGGGCAAGGUAGCUGUGCGGGUAUUACAGUGUUGGUGGAGGGGGAAAGGCAGCGAUCCGUUAAGUAGGUAGGAAAGCAGACGUUUUGAAGGUUACAGAGUUGCCCAGAACAUCACCCCAGAGGCGGAGCGUGGGUGUGUUACGAUGGGGACACUGACAGUGGCCUCUUUGGGGAGAAAAUUCCCCUCUCUGAGACAAACCGUCCCAAGCCAGACCUCUCUCUCGCCUCUGGGCCUAUUGAGAAAUAUUCCUUGAAAUGUUGUUGAUAAUGCCUUUCCUUUCUGCCCGAGCUUGUGGUAUCUGGCGAUUGCAUCAGCUCUCAAAGCUGGCCUGUUUCCCAUGAGAACCUCCUUCUGUCCCUCACAGAGACCAAGAGCCCAAUUUAUUCCCUCUGCACUUCAGGGGUUCUCCAAUGAACUCUUCCAGGGGUAUCCCUAGAGAGAAUUCCAGGAUCUGUGAACUUGGAUGACUUACUGAAAUUAGUAUUUUCUUCCAUUGUGAAUCCAGGUGACCACCCCCAGGAGGACUCGCACUGGCUGUGAUAUGGUCCAAUAGCAAUCACAGAGCUGCUUUGAUGGAAAACACCCGGGAUCUUGGCUGCCUGGGUUACCCAGAGUGACUGGAGGAGGAGUGGAGGAACAAAGUAAGGAAAACACACUGCUGGAGCUCAACAGCUGCUUAUGUGUGGCAGGUGUGCCUCAAUUCUAAGUCCUCAUCGCCUGGGGACACGGGUCAUGGGUUAUAAAACCCUUUCAAAGCCCUGCAUUAUCUCAGAGGGUUCUCCUAACCAGAGCCGGGGACCUGGAUCCUAGGUUGAAGGAUGAAGACUGUGUACCUAGGAACACACAGCAGGCCUCAGGGCUCCAAAGCCAGGGCUCAUUUCCACCCUGUGUCCCCUAAGUUCGGGUUUCUCCACAUCCCAGGCACCAUUCCCUGACCACCCAGCCCCAGAUGUGCUAGGCGGAGGCAGGGGCUUUAGAGGAAGAUGCCCCAAAACGGAGAGCUUGGAGCCAGACGCAGCAGGGAGACGGGAUGGAAAACCGCGAGCAAAGUUCUGGGAGAAGGGGCUACGGCAAAGACGAAGGAAAAGGAGAGGCGGACGGAGGGAGUCAGGAAAAAGGAAACAGAUGAUGAAAGCGAGAGCCCGAGGGAGCGCGGGAGCCUGCUCUGGGGCGCGGGGUACAAGGCGCCGGGCGCGGGGCAGCCAGAGGCGCCCAAGCCUAGUUCCCCGCUGCGCCCCACCCGACCCAAAGGGGAGCGCCCCACCGACCGAUUUGACUUGCACAAAACCCGCGCCCCAGGGGCCUUUGCCAGGCCGCUGGGGCUUGAUUCAUUUCUUGACUAAUUAACUGGAAGCUACGUUGCCCCUUCUUUCAGGGCCCAAUUAAUUCGCCGCGGGCGGUGGGGCGGGGGCCGUGCGGCCGAGGCGCCCGCCUGGAGUCCCUUUGUGAAGGGCUGUCUGGCCCAUAUUGAUUCUAC